CAUGCAGUCGAGCGCUCUCUUCGGAGGGAGCGGCGGACGGGUUAGUAACGCGUGGGAACGUGCCCUUCUCUACGGAAUAGCCUCGGGAAACUGGGAGUAAUACCGUAUACGCCCUUUGGGGGAAAGAUUUAUCUGGAGAAGGAUCGGCCCGCGUUGGAUUAGGUAGUUGGUGGGGUAAUGGCCUACCAAGCCUACGAUCCAUAGCUGGUUUGAGAGGAUGAUCAGCAACACUGGGACUGAGACACGGCCCAGACUCCUACGGGAGGCAGCAGUGGGGAAUCUUAGACAAUGGGCGCAAGCCUGAUCUAGCCAUGCCGCGUGAGUGACGAAGGCCUUAGGGUCGUAAAGCUCUUUCGCUGGGGAAGAUAAUGACGGUACCCAGUAAAGAAACCCCGGCUAACUCCGUGCCAGCAGCCGCGGUAAUACGGAGGGGGUUAGCGUUGUUCGGAAUUACUGGGCGUAAAGCGCGCGUAGCGGAUCAGAAAGUUGGGGGUGAAAUCCCAGGGCUCAACCCUGGAACUGCCCUCAAAACUCCUGGUCUUGAGUUCGAGAGAGGUGAGUGGAAUUCCGAGUGUAGAGGUGAAAUUCGUAGAUUUCGGAGGAACACCAGUGGCGAAGGCGGCUCACUGGCUCGAUACUGACGCUACUUUGAGAACCAUGGCGAGGCACCUGACUAGACACUUUGGUACUCUAAGCUAAAACGCUUAAUGCAGAACCACGGGUAGAUAGCAUGCAGUGCCCCCCUUAAACGAUUAUCACUCCGUCCUGGGAAUAACGUCGCAAGAUAAGAACUCAAACGAUAUUGAAUGCGACCUCGGAAAAGCCGUCGAGCAUAGUGGAUAUA
rnacentral:rRNA from 1 species